UGGGGAAUUUUGGACAAUGGGGGAAACCCUGAUCCAGCCAUCCCGCGUGUGCGAUGAAGGCCUUCGGGUUGUAAAGCACUUUUGGCAGGAAAGAAACGUCGCGGGUUAAUACCCCGCGAAACUGACGGUACCUGCAGAAUAAGCACCGGCUAACUACGUGCCAGCAGCCGCGGUAAUACGUAGGGUGCAAGCGUUAAUCGGAAUUACUGGGCGUAAAGCGUGCGCAGGCGGUUCGGAAAGAAAGAUGUGAAAUCCCAGAGCUUAACUUUGGAACUGCAUUUUUAACUACCGGGCUAGAGUGUGUCAGAGGGAGGUGGAAUUCCGCGUGUAGCAGUGAAAUGCGUAGAUAUGCGGAGGAACACCGAUGGCGAAGGCAGCCUCCUGGGAUAACACUGACGCUCAUGCACGAAAGCGUGGGGAGCAAACAGGAUUAGAUACCCUGGUAGUCCACGCCCUAAACGAUGUCAACUAGCUGUUGGGGCCUUCGGGCCUUGGUAGCGCAGCUAACGCGUGAAGUUGACCGCCUGGGGAGUACGGUCGCAAGAUUAAAACUCAAAGGAAUUGGACGGGGUCGAUACUGGUUUUU
rnacentral:rRNA from 1 species